rnacentral:lncRNA from 1 species
AUCUGUAUUUCUCUGUAAUUGUGUUCACAGGGUGGCAUGAUGUAUGUGUUCUGCUAGAAUGAGCCCACAGUAAUGCCUGGCACACCCACGUACUCAGGGAAUCUCACACCAUCUAUGCUGACCCCUCAGAAUCCUCAGGACCUUCUCUGUGAGCUCUGCAUUUUCCUACAGGAGUUAAGAAAAAUCAUGAAGUCGAUAUGCCUUACCAGCCCAAAUUCCAAGUUUACAGAGCUCUAUAACUGGAAACUGCUGGUCCAUCCAUUUAUUAUUCAGAGGUAGAGAAGAUUGUGGAGUUUUUUGACUAAUAAUGAGACUCUACAUGAAUGAAGGUCGUAGUAAAUUCAUGAAGCCCUUCUGCCCACUCUAUAAAAG